UCUGCCCCUAGAGGCCUUACAGGUAUGGCUGCUGUGUGGCUUGUGCGUCCAUUGCGGGCAGAGAGGAGAGAGGCCAUGUCUGUGUUCUGCCCUGUGAAUGGACACCUGCAUGAUAAGUAGCCUAACAUU